rnacentral:rRNA from 1 species
UACGUAGGGUGCAAGCGUUGUCCGGAAUUAUUGGGCGUAAAGAGCUCGUAGGCGGUCUGUCGCGUCGGCUGUGAAAUCCCGAGGCUCAACCUCGGGUCUGCAGUCGAUACGGGCAAACUGGAGUGUUGCAGGGGAGACUGGAAUUCCUGGUGUAGCGGUGAAAUGCGCAGAUAUCAGGAGGAACACCGGUGGCGAAGGCGGGUCUCUGGGCUAUAACUGACGCUCAUGCACGAAAGCGUGGGGAGCAAACAGG